GACGAACGCUGGCGGCGUGCUUAACACAUGCAAGUCGAACGGAAAGGCCCUGCUUUUGUGGGGUGCUCGAGUGGCGAACGGGUGAGUAACACGUGAGUAACCUGCCCUUGACUUUGGGAUAACUUCAGGAAACUGGGGCUAAUACCGGAUAGGAGCUCCUGCUGCAUGGAGGGGGUUGGAAAGUUUCGGCGGUUGGGGAUGGACUCGAGGCUUAUCAGCUUGUUGGUGGGGUAGUGGCUUACCAAGGCUUUGACGGGUAGCCGGCCUGAGAGGGUGACCGGCCACAUUGGGACUGAGAUACGGCCCAGACUCCUACGGGAGUGAGCAGUGGGGAAUAUUGCACAAUGGGCGGAAGCCUGAUGCAGCAACUCCGCGUGCGGGAUGACGGCCUUCGGGUGGUAAACCGCUUUCGCCUGUGACGAAGCGCGAGUGACGGGAAUGGGUAAAGAAGCACCGGCUAACUACGU
rnacentral:rRNA from 1 species